CCUACGGGAGGCAGCAGUGGGGAAUAUUGCUCAAUGGGGGAAACCCUGAAGCAGCAACGCCGCGUGGAGGAUGAAGGGUUUAGGAGUGUAAACCCCUUUUGGCAGGGAAGUAAAUGACGGUAUCUGACCAAUAAGCUCCGGCUAACUACGUUCCAGCAGCCGCGGUAAUACGUAGGGUGCAAGCGUUAUCCGGAUUGACUGGGCGUAAAGGGUGCGCAGACGGGCUUGGAAGUCAGAAGUGAAAGCCUGGAGCUUAACCCCAGAACUGCCUUUGAAACUGUGUGGCUGGAGUACAGGAGGGGUAGGUGGAAUUCUUGGUGUAGCGGUGAAAUGCGUAGAUAUUAAGAGGAAUACUGAUUGCGAAGGCGGCCUACUGGAAUAUUACUGACGUUGAUGCCCGAAAGCGUGGGGAGCAAACAGGAUUAGAUACCCUUGUAGUC
rnacentral:rRNA from 1 species